rnacentral:lncRNA from 1 species
AAGUAAACGCCCCAAAGGCUCUUUUAAGAGCCACUCUAAGAAUCUUAUGGAGAGCUGCAGGAAACUUGUCCAUGGUAAUAAUAUAUUUGUUGAGCACCUUUGUGUUGUAUUGCCUGGUUGCUUUUGGAGUAACCAAAAUUUAGUAUUAUCUUGGCACUUUGCGCCAUCUCUGAGUUAAGAGAUUUUGUGGUUUUUAAUUUUAUUACAUUUGAUAUUUGAGUCUUUAACCACUACUGGGGUCAAUUUUUUGUUGAGUGUUAGGUACUGGUAAUUAGAAGCAAAUUAGAUUGGAAGUGCUUAAAAUAGAGAGAACUCGAGUUAGUUUUUUGCCUUUGACUUGGAUCUUUGACUUAGAUCUGACAAAAUUGGAUUCUCCCACUGUAAUAACUUGUAACUCUGCAGCUGGAACUUUUGAGCUAUUAGGAAUUUUUUCUAAUGCAAUAUUGGGAAGAUUGCAGACUGCUGGAGCAAGUUUUGACGAUGACAUGGUACCUCUAGGAUUUAAGGAACUUGGAACUGAUAAUUCCUGUAAAAGAAGCCGAAGGAUGAUAGUCACCAGUAGAAAUACCGGGAAUCAACUUUAUUUUACGUUUGAAGAGCCCAGGGUUGGUAUGUGUUAAUUUUCCUAGGUUACUAGGUCAAGAGAAUUCAAAUUAACUAAGAAAUGGGAAAAGUUUGUGGGAGUUUUGGAAUGGCAUCAACACCUGGUAGAAUCGUAGAGCUAUAACUGGAAGAGUAUUUUGCUGCGAUCUAGUAGUUCGAUUCCAUUUUACAUGUUGAGAAACAAUCACAGAUUCAGAUGAAUUUUUUGCGAAGCUAAAUAUAGGGGAAACCAAGAUGGAGUUCAUUUUGAUGCUCUUUAGCCAGUACCAUUUUUUCCUUAAAUUCCUGUCUCAUUUUUUGUCUUUUUCUUUUUUGUAGAGCGCUUAGUUGUAGGUACUCUUUAUAUGUGUGGGUGGAUUCCCAUAUAUCUUACAUAUUGGUAAUUAUUUGGAGUGGAAUUUUUCUGUCUUGGUUUUUUUUUGGGUAAUUUGAAGAAAGUAUGUUUUUUAUGAGUUUAUUUUAUAUCUUGCUGCUUGACUGAAGAUAUUGUUUCACUCUUUAGUUAGGUUGUAGUGUUUUCUAAAUAAAAUGUUAUUGCAAAAAGUGAUGUUUGUUUUC